rnacentral:tRNA from 1 species
GGAUUAGCUCAGUCGGUAGAGCGACGCAUUCGUAAUGCGUAGGUCGUGGGUUCGAGUCCCAUUUCCG